rnacentral:rRNA from 1 species
AAUAGAUACCCCGGUAGUCCACGCCGUAAACGAUGAGUGCUAAGUGUUAGAGGGUUUCCGCCCUUUAGUGCUGCAGCUAACGCAUUAAGCACUCCGCCUGGGGAGUACGGUCGCAAGACUGAAACUCAAAGGAAUUGACGGGGGCCCGCACAAGCGGUGGAGCAUGUGGUUUAAUUCGAAGCAACGCGAAGAACCUUACCAGGUCUUGACAUCCUCUGACAACUCUAGAGAUAGAGCGUUCCCCUUCGGGGGACAGAGUGACAGGUGGUGCAUGGUUGUCGUCAGCUCGUGUCGUGAGAUGCUGGGUUAAGUCCCGCAACGAGCGCAACCCUUGAUCUUAGUUGCCAGCAUUUAGUUGGGCACUCUAAGGUGACUGCCGGUGACAAACCGGAGGAAGGUGGGGAUGACGUCAAAUCAUCAUGCCCCUUAUGACCUGGGCUACACACGUGCUACAAUGGAUGGUACAAAGGGCUGCAAGACCGCGAGGUCAAGCCAAUCCCAUAAAACCAUUCUCAGUUCGGAUUGU